rnacentral:rRNA from 1 species
ACUCAAUAGAUACCCUGGUAGUCCACGCCCUAAACGAUGCAGACUAGAUUGCAGCGGGUCUGAACCCCGUUGCGGUCGGAGAAAAAUUGUGAAGUCUGCCACCUGGGAAGUACGGUCGCAAGGCUAAAACUCAAAGGAAUUGACGGGGGCUCACACAAGCGGUGGAGCAUGUGGCUCAAUUCGAAGCAACGCGAAGAACCUUAUCCUGGGCUUGACAUGGCUGGAUUAGCUUCCUGAAAGGGAAGUGACGCUCGCAAGAGUGGAACAGUCACAGGUGCUGCAUGGCUGUCGUCAGCUCGUGCUGUGAAGUGUCGGGUUAAGUCCCAUAACGAGCGAAACCCUUAUCGUUAGUUGCCAGCGGGUCAUGCCGGGCACUCUAGCGAGACUGCCGGUGUUAAACCGGAGGAAGGCGGGGAUGACGUCAAGUCCUCAUGGCCUUUAUGCCCAGGGCUGCACACGUGCUACAAUGCCGAUGACAAACCGAAGCAAGACCGCAAGGU